rnacentral:rRNA from 1 species
ACGCUGGCGGCAGGCCUAACACAUGCAAGUCGAGCGGUAGAGGGAAGCUUGCUUCUCUUGAGAGCGGCGGACGGGUGAGUAAUGCCUAGGAAUCUGCCUGGUAGUGGGGGAUAACGUUCGGAAACGGACGCUAAUACCGCAUACGUCCUACGGGAGAAAGCAGGGGACCUUCGGGCCUUGCGCUAUCAGAUGAGCCUAGGUCGGAUUAGCUAGUUGGUGAGGUAAUGGCUCACCAAGGCGACGAUCCGUAACUGGUCUGAGAGGAUGAUCAGUCACACUGGAACUGAGACACGGUCCAGACUCCUACGGGAGGCAGCAGUGGGGAAUAUUGGACAAUGGGCGAAAGCCUGAUCCAGCCAUGCCGCGUGUGUGAAGAAGGUCUUCGGAUUGUAAAGCACUUUAAGUUGGGAGGAAGGGCACUAACCUAAUACGUUAGUGUUUUGACGUUACCGACAGAAUAAGCACCGGCUAACUCUGUGCCAGCAGCCGCGGUAAUACAGAGGGUGCAAGCGUUAAUCGGAAUUACUGGGCGUAAAGCGCGCGUAGGUGGUUUGUUAAGUUGGAUGUGAAAUCCCCGGGCUCAACCUGGGAACUGCAUUCAAAACUGACUGACUAGAGUAUGGUAGAGGGUGGUGGAAUUUCCUGUGUAGCGGUGAAAUGCGUAGAUAUAGGAAGGAACACCAGUGGCGAAGGCGACCACCUGGACUAAUACUGACACUGAGGUGCGAAAGCGUGGGGAGCAAAC